rnacentral:tRNA from 1 species
UCCCUGGUGGCUCAGACGGUAAAGCAUCUGUUUGCAAUGCAGGAGACCCAGGUUUGAUUCCUGGCUCAGGAA